rnacentral:rRNA from 1 species
CCUACGGGUGGCAGCAGUGAGGAAUAUUGGUCAAUGGGCGCGAGCCUGAACCAGCCAAGUCGCGUGAGGGAAGACGGUCCUAUGGAUUGUAAACCUCUUUUGUCGGGGAGCAAAAGACGCCACGCGUGGCGUUCCGCGAGUACCCGAAGAAAAAGCAUCGGCUAACUCCGUGCCAGCAGCCGCGGUAAUACGGAGGAUGCGAGCGUUAUCCGGAUUUAUUGGGUUGAAAGGGUGCGCAGGCGGAAGAUCAAGUCAGCGGUAAAAUUGAGAGGCUCAACCUCUUCGAGCCGUUGAAACUGGUUUUCUUGAGUGAGCGAGAAGUAUGCGGAAUUCGUGGUGUAGCGGUGAAAUGCAUAGAUAUCACGCAGAACUCCGAUUGCGAAGGCAGCAUACCGGCGCUCAACUGACGCGCAUGCACGAAAGUGUGGGUAGCGAACAGGAUUAGAUACCCCUGUAGUC